GUGCUCGCUUUGGCAGCACAUAUACUAAAAUUGGAACGAUACAGAGAAGAUUAGCAUGGCCCCUGCGAAAGGAUGACACACAAAUUCGUGAAGCGUUGCAUAUUAAA
ensembl:snRNA Rnu6-826 RNA, U6 small nuclear 826